ACUGUUUAACAAAAACACAGGUCUAUGCUAAGCUGAAAGGCGAUGUAUAUGGGCUGACACCUGCCCAGUGCCGGAAGGUUAAGAGGAGGAGUGAGAGCUCCGAAUUGAAGCCCCGGUGAACGGCGGCCGUAACUAUAACGGUCCUAAGGUAGCGAAAUUCCUUGUCGGGUAAGUUCCGACCUGCACGAAUGGUGUAACGAUUUGAGUGCUGUCUUGGCGGGAGGCCUGGUGAAGUUGUAUUAUGGGUGAAGAUACCCAUUACCUGCAGCAGGACGGAAAGACCCCAUGGAGCUUUACUGUAGCUUGGUAUUGGGUCUUGAUGCUGUGUGUAUAGGAUAGUUGGGAGACUUUGAUUGUAGGCCGCUAGGUUUACAUGAGUCGUUGGUGGAAUACCAACCACGCAGUAUUGGGAUUCUAAUCUGGUGUGUGUAACACCGGAGACAGUGCUAGGUGGGCAGUUUGACUGGGGCGGUCGCCUCCGAAAGAGUAACGGAGGCGCUCAAAGGUUCCCUCAGGUUGGAUGGAAAUCAACCGCAGAGUGCAAAGGCAUAAGGGAGCUUGACUGCGAGACUGACAGGUCGAGCAGGUGCGAAAGCAGGACUUAGUGAUCCGGCGAUUCCGAAUGGAAGGGUCGUCGCUCAACGGAUAAAAGCUACCCUGGGGAUAACAGGCUGAUCCUACCCGAGAGUCCAUAUCGACGGUAGGGUUUGGCACCUCGAUGUCGGCUCAUCUUAUCCUGGGGCUGGAGAAGGUCCCAAGGGUUGGGCUGUUCGCCCAUUAAAAAGGUACGUGAGCUGGGUUCAGAACGUCGUGAGACAGUUCGGUCCCUAUCCGCUGCAGGCGCUAGAGUAUUGCGGAGAUCUGCCCUUAGUACGAGAGGACCGGGGUGGACAAACCUCUGAUGUAUCAGUUGUCACGCCAGUGGCAUAGCUGGGUAGUCACGUUUGGAAUGGAUAAUCGCUGAAAGCAUCUAAGUGAGAAACCAACUUCAAGAUAAAUACUCUGUAACUUUAAGUUAAUAAGUCACCUUCGAGACUAGGAGGUUGAUAGGCUGGGGGUGUAAGGGACGUAAGUUCUUUAGCUGACCAGUACUAAUUAGACGAAUGCUUAUCCUA
rnacentral:rRNA from 1 species